rnacentral:rRNA from 1 species
GUCGUAACAAGGUUUCCGUAGGUGAACCUGCGGAAGGAUCAUUACUGAAUUAAUGGACGAGGUUGUAGCUGGCCUUUACGGGCAUGUGCACACCUUGCUCAUCCAAAUUCUUACACCUCUGUGCACUUUUCAUGGGAUGGUUGUGAUUGUCUUCUAGACGGUCUGACUAUUCUAUGCUUUUAUUAAACGCUUCAGUUUAGAAUGUCUCUUUGCGUAUAACGCAUUAAAUACAACUUUCAGCAACGGAUCUCUUGGCUCUCGCAUCGAUGAAGAACGCAGCGAAAUGCGAUAAGUAAUGUGAAUUGCAGAAUUCAGUGAAUCAUCGAAUCUUUGAACGCACCUUGCGCUCCUUGGUAUUCCGAGGAGCAUGCCUGUUUGAGUGUCAUGGUAUUCUCAAUUCAUCCCAUUUUAUUAUGAGCUUGAAUUGGAUGUGGAGGCUUAUUGCUGGUAUUCUUUUUGGGAAACAUCAGCUCCUCUUAAAUGAAUUAGUGUGAAUGUCUAUCGAGCAUUCCUCAGUGUGAUAAUUGUCUACGCUGUGGUUGUGAGAUAUAAAUUAAUAUGUUCAUGCUUCUAAUCGUCUCUUUUGAGACAAUCUAUUUCUUGACAUCUGACCUCAAAUCAGGUAGGACUA